CCUGUGGCAUAUGGAAGUUCCCAGGCUAGGGAUCAAAUCAGAGCUCGGCUGAGGCCUAUGCCACAGCCAUGGCAAUGCUAGAUCUGAGCCACAUCUGGGACCUACACUGCAACUUGUGACAAUGCCGAAUUCCUAACCCACUGAGUGAGGUCAGGGAUUGAGCCUGCAUUGUCACAGACACUAUGUCAGAUUCUUAACCCAUUGAUCCACAAUUGGAACUCCUUUUCAAUUUUUUUAAAUGUUCACUAAAUGCUUUUUGAAUGUGCAUAAUAUCCUUUGGUGUAUUAAUGUUUAGACACAAAACUGUUCAUUCAUCAUUCAACCAUUCAUUCAUAGGAGAGUUUGCCUUUGGAGAAAAUGAAUAGUAUAGUAUAUGGGGUGAUAAUGUGUGUGUGUGUGAGUAGAAGACUAGUUAAGAGAAGAGUGGAGACAUUUGAAUGGGUAAGAGCUAGGGAUUGAACUGCAUCCUCAUGGGUACUAGUCAGGCGUGUUGCUGCUGAGCCACAGUGGGAAUUCCUCUGCUAAUACAUUUAUCAAGUUACUUAACCACUUUGAGUUUCAUUUUCCUCAUCUGUAAAGUAGGAAAAAUACUGAUGCAUUCUUGUAGGACUGUGAUUAAAAACACACAAGAUAACCCAAACAAAGUGCUGAGAGCAGUGUUCUUCUCAUGGUAAUCUUGUAGGAAAUGUUUUCUACUAGAAUUAAUAAUGAAGAGAAUUUCAUUUUUGGUUUUACAAUCAAUAUGGGCCUAGUAAAGCAGAUGGGGUUAGUGAACUAACAGACCUAUUGAAACAGAUUUGCCACUAGUUGAACCCUAGUAAUCACAUUUUUUACAAGUUCCCCAGAUAACUUUGGUGAGUACCUUGGUUUGGGUGUGCACACUUUAUAUUUGCUGUAUAUGUCAUGUAGGAUCUGUUAGUUCAAUGCCUUAUUGCCUUCCUCUGGGAAGAAGACCAGUCUUAUUCCUGAUAGUCCCAUAAGUGAUAGAAAGGAGAAUUAAUAGGCCAAAUUAGUCACAAAACAAAUUUCCUAUGGACAGUAUGUUAGAAAACUAAUAAAUAGGAGUUCCCUUGUGGCAUAGCAGGUUAAGGAUUUUCCAGUCACUGCAGCGGCUCUGGUUGCUGUUGCGGCUCAAGGUCAAUUCCGGGAACUUUCACAUGCUACAAGCACAGCAGAAAACAAACAAACAAAGAAAAAACACCUCAUAAAUAACUAAAUAACCAAACAACAAAUCAGCCUUUCAUGAGAAGCUUUCAUUUUGGGUGACAAGGUCAUCUAUUCUCUAAAGAUCUCUCCUAUAAAAUCAUUAGAUCCUGAUCUAAGUGGGUAUAUUUUAUUGCACUUCUGGGCUCAGGACAUAAGGGAAAUUAGGCACAUAAACCUAAUCCAAGUAAACAAAUCUGUGAGCUGAAACUUGAGAGGUGGUCAUGAGCAGACAUGCAAACUGAGGCUACUGUAAGUGCUAACAUCAGUCCUGAAGAUAAGAGACCAACUCUUGGGUCCACAUAAAAUUGGGGAGAAAAAAACCUGAGACUUCUGAAUUGAGCUGGAGAUUCUUAGGGUGGCAUAUUCAUCCCAGGUCAACAGUGUCCUUGGGCUACUGGCAUAAACAAUUUACAUUUGCUGGAGGAGAGCAUGCCUCAUUUAGGGCCCCAGGAUUUCUAGGGGUAAAGAUCUAUGAAAUAUGAGCUCAUAAGUUAAGACCAAAAAAUAGAUAAGGAAACAUGCUUUCAAGAAUGAAGAAAGAAACUCAAAGGACAUGAGACACUAGAAUUAUCACAUGCAGAACAAAGUAACUCUGUAUAUAGUUAAAAAGCAGCUUUAUUGAUAUAUAAUUCAUACACAUACAGUUGACCCAUUUAACCCAUUUAAAGUGUGCAAUUUGGAAUUCCUGUCAUGGCUCAGUGGUUAGUGAACCCGACUAGCAUCCAUGAGAACAUGGGUUCGAUCCCUGGCCUCACUCUCUGGGUUAAGGAUCUGGUGCUGCUGUGAGCUGUGGUGUAGGUCACAGACACAGCUCAGAUCCAGCAUUGCUGUGGCUGUGGCGUAGGCCAGUGGCUAUAGCUCUGACUGAACCCCUAGCCUGGGAACCUCCAUAUGCCAUGGAUGCAGACCUAAAAAAAAAAAAAAAAAAAGACAAAAAGACAAAAAAAGAAGUGUGCAAUUAAAAGAUUUUUAGUAUAUUUACAGAUACAUGCAACCAUCACCAAAGUCAAUUUUAGAACAUUUUGAUCAUCUCAAGAAGAAAUUCCAUACCCUUUAAUUAUCAUCCCCAUCUCCCAUUUCCUUUUCCCCAAGUCUGGCAACCCCUAAUCUAGUUUCCUUCUAUAUAGAUCUCCUAUUCUGGACUUUUAUAUGAAUGAAAUCAUGUAAUAGGUGGUCCUUUUGUGACUGGCUUAUUUCAUUCAGCAUGAUGUAUCAAGGCCCAUCUACUUCAUUCCUCUCUGUGGCUAAAUAAUAUCCCAUAAAUUUC
rnacentral:lncRNA from 1 species